GGACUAGGCAGAACCAAUUCAAGGCUGAGCUAUUGUACAAACUGAGAGCUACCUUUUACAGUUCAUUUGGAACAAAUGUUGUGUCCAGCCUCCAGGGAGAUAUGUUUAUUGUGAGUGUGUAAUAAUCUGUUCAGCACAGCUACUGUACUGGGGAUGCAAUGAAGAUGAAGCUAAUCACACUCAGGUGAACAACAGUUGAAUGAAUGAAUGGGUUUCACAGGCUUUUGUUCAGAUAUGUUUGUAUUUAUCCAGUCAACAGCAAACGUACAACACAUUACGGCUGAAAGGUAUCUCUUCGCAAAGGAAGCCAGC